GGCUGGUCAAAGUACAGUGGUGUUUACAACUAAUUGAUCACAACUGGUUAUUUCUUUGUGUCUUCUCCACUCCCACUGUUUUACUUGACUAGCUUAAA
ensembl:misc_RNA Y_RNA Y RNA